GGGGGCGACAUGGUUUCGACGUGUAGUUUGAAACUCAGGUUGCGUGUCGGGGACUCCGGUUGGCCCCGUUAAGAAUCCGGAAUUCUGUAUAAACGCCAACUCAGAAAUGGCACUCGCGGCUUAACGACCGCGACGUUUUCCCGCAGACGCCUGCUAAGCGGAGUAAGACGUCGACAGCAGGCUGGCUUUUCGGCCGGGUGCCCGGGUUUGAAAAGCGAGACACUUUCGUGGACGCUGGCUGUUGAGAUCACCUGUCCAUCGGCGGUUUCAGCAGUGAGAUUAAAUGAUGGAACACACACGUAGAGAUCUUAGCGGAUGCUAUGCGGACGGGGGUUCGAAUCCCCCCGCCUCCACCA
rnacentral:tmRNA from 1 species